rnacentral:rRNA from 1 species
CCGGCGCACGGGUGAGUAACACGUAUCCAACCUGCCGUCUACUCUUGGACAGCCUUCUGAAAGGAAGAUUAAUACAAGAUGGCAUCAUGAGUCCGCAUGUUCACAUGAUUAAAGGUAUUCCGGUAGACGGUGGGGAUGCGUUCCAUUAGAUAGUAGGCGGGGUAACGGCCCACCUAGUCUUCGAUGGAUAGGGGUUCUGAGAGGAAGGUCCCCCACAUUGGAACUGAGACACGGUCCAAACUCCUACGGAAGGCAGCAG